GAUGCCGUUUUAGUGUGUUGUGGCGACUGACGGUUCGUUUUCGUCAAGAUGUAUUUUUUCCUGAAUAUCUUAUUAGUUUACUUUAAUUUUAGAAGUGACGAAUGAUAGCUAAGACUAAUAUGUAACAGGUCUCGUGUGACUGUAGUAUAGUAGUUUAAAGUGAUCAGAUAAAGUAGCUAUCUAACGUUACCUGCUAGCUUGUCUUUCGACGCCUACAUUAUUUGUUGCCUCAGCUUUUUUUUGCCAUGGUUGCUUUUACUUGAGUACUGAAUUACUUACUAUUCGUAUGCAAUAAGAUUAACAUAUCUAUAGGAAACUAUCAAACUGACGUGUCCGUUCUGAAAGAUGAAAGCCACAACAAGGUUAUCUUUAGGUGGCAGGGUAUUGUUGUUAUGCUCGUCAGUUACGUAGUUAAACACAGAAUAUUGGUUAUUUCAGCUGAGUUAUCUACGCUAAGUAAAAGCGAAAAUGUCACAUUUGUUAACUACGGUACCUAGCCAAGAAGGCGUAUUUACUUAGCAAAAUGCGCGUGUUGUGGCGCAGUUUUAGGCCUGAUUUUUAAAAAAUCGCAGCUAUCUGAAGUAAAAAUGUUUUAACGCUCAUGAAAAGAUCAGGUUGUAUAAGUGUAGUUGAAAUUUUUUUUAUUUUAUUUUACCUUUAUUUAACCAGGCAAGUCAGUUAAGAACAUAUUCUUAUUUUCAAUGACGGCCUGGGAACAGUGGGUUAACUGCCUGUUCAGGGGCAGAACGACAGAUUUGUACCUUGUCAGCUCGGGGGUUUGAACUCGCAACCUUCCGGUUACUAGUCCAACGCUCUAACCACUAGGCUAAGUUACAAGACCAGAACCGUAUGGAGUGAAGCCGUUCGAAUAGCCAGCUAAAUAUUUGAAUAGAAAUUGAGCGUAGGUCCCACUUAUCCGAGGCAGUAUAGCCACUUCAAUGCGUAUACUAUUUUCUUAACCUAAAAUGAAGACUAGUUUACAAGAGAAAUUUUAGCCCUUGGGAAUGGGCAGUAAAAUAUACCACUUACAAGACAGCCAUCUUGUGAAGACACGGAUAAUGGCCAGCUAAAUAUUUGAAGAUCAAGUUGAGUGUAGGUCCCUUAUCCGAGGCAGUUGAUAUACUUCAGUGCGUUAGAAGUGUUGCUUUUAGUUGGUUGCGCAUCAGGAAAAAUAAUUUUGUAGUGAAAAGGGAACCAAGGUACAAGACUAUCCUUUCAAAAGUUGUGAAGCCUCUUGAAUAGCCAACUGAAUAUUGUAAGUUGUGCUGCAUUGGCCUUUUGAUCAUUUGAGUUAUAUUUAUUGUUUUUGGUUUUCAACCUGAAGUGAAACACAAUAUGUGCUUCUGUUGUGAAACUUUAUUUCAAUAGCAAACUAAAUAUUGGAAGAUUAUUUAGGCCAACGGUGCCUGUUUGUCGGUCAUUUAAGCUGCUUCAAGAAGUAAAAAUGUUUUGAGCCUAAAAUGAACAAGAUGUGCUGCCGGUUACAUUUCCAAGUACAUCAGUUGCUUUGCUAGCACUAGCGGUAGGUGAAGGAGGUGCAGGCUCGUGACAAUGCUUUGUCACGCUUCAUUCAGAUUUGAUAAACUUUAUCUAAACACAAUUUGCUCUAGUUGGUGAAGAAAAGAAGAUUUUGCUGUAGAAGAAUGGACUGAGUUUAAAAAAAAAAAAAAAAAAUUAAGGGGUGGGUGGGCACUUAGUAUGCAGUUUGAUCAGAUGAGGAAGGACGACUUCAGGAUCAGGCAAGAACCAGGCAGAGGGAAACUGGUAGGACCAGCGGGGAGCCAGGCAGGAUCCAGGUGGAUCGCGGGAGGAGCCGAUGGGACCCAGUUGAGCGAGCGGAACGCAGCAGUUUUCAUCAGAGGGAGCGCGCCAGAUGGCAGGGUAGCGAGCUGAGAGCGGACCAGUCCCAGGUCGAGCGUUGCCCCAAUGCAGCCAGUGGGUCCCAGCAGAAAUGAGGCAGACGAGUAAAAGGGUCAACUAGCUUCGCAAGUGACAAGUGUUUGUAUGAUGGGUAGCGGUAUCGGGUAAUGUUUAACUAGGCCAACAUCUUUGAAAUUAGUCCAUAUUAAAUCUGUCAAAACAUUUUCUCGCGAAGUUUUCUUCCUCUUUCAGGUAAAGUGUUAAUUUUCCUGGUUUUGGCCUCUUCCUGUCUGCUGUGAUGAGUCCCCCUUGGCCUACUUGGUAGAGUGCACUGGCGAGAGGACUGUCUUAAAGGAUUUCACCCUCCUGCAGCGCAGAUGUAGUACCCCCCUGGGCGGAGGAGUUUCUUCAUUGAGUUCAAUAAGUCUACUCCCCUGAGAAGUGGUCUACAUGGGAGUGUUGAGAGUCGAAAUUCUUCUGUACGUUCGUGCUGCUUUGGUGCUGAGCAGCUACAUCUGCUGGUUAAAGUGAGCAGUGAGUUUAAAUGCAUGCGAUGAUCAUGUGGGGAGUAACUAUUUCCCUCAAAUAUUGAUAUCAAAUUUCUAUUUGGCUAUUUGUAAUGGUAACUGAAAGGGAUUAUUAUCCCUGCAUUUCAUUUGUAGUAUUGGUCAAACUGGUGCAUUUGUGGAUGGUGGGGGGGGAGACUUUCCAAGUUCUUCUUUUCACAGGCUCGCACCUUAAAGCAAACCUGACCAUCCAAGGAAGUCCCUCAUUAGUACUGCCCACCACAUUAAUGAAAACGGUUGAGCACGUUCCCGAAACAGAUCAUUCUAAGGAUGGAUCAAGGGAAAUCUCUGGUGUUAAAAUCAUGUAGGAAGGUAUUUUGUACUGGUUUUCUGUAGCGAGUUAAUCAUUUGCUUAUACUGUUUUUCUUCCUAUAUUUUGUAGGGAUACACACUUGGGUUCUGGGAGGGUUGUGGGGGUGUUAAUCAAAUAUUUCCUAGAAUUUUUUUUCACACAGCUUCGUGUAAAGCAGCAUUUUAAAGAUCCAAAUGAUUAGCGUUGAUGUUUGAGGAGCAAGGAGUCAACCCAGUGGUCCACGUCUUUCGGCUGUCCUUUUGCGUUGUGGUGUGGAUAUUCCUUGGUGUCUACAAUGAUGUAGCAGGAGGCGGGCCACCUUUUGGGAUGUGAACUUGCGGUGUUCUCCUAGGGAGUGUGGUAACUUAACUUUUAGACUGGUGCAUUUUAUAUCCUGGAGUUGAAAUUUGCAUUUGGGGUUUCUGGGGUCAGGGGAGGGCUUAACUGUGACUCUUCCAGAUUAUGACCCACCCCUCAAUGAAAGAGACUGGAGGUCUACAUCUCCCCCGUCUUAAGGAGAACAGCUGAUGCCUUGAGGCCAGUGGUAUUUAACUGUUUCUUGUGUAAAGUUAUUGUGUAUGUGAAUUUGUUUUUUAAUUGUAUUUUAGCAACUGUUAAUACAAUUUUGAUAGUGGGUUGGUUACUGUAUGGGUGGGAAUGGUGGAAGUCUUGUUUUCCCUUUUGCGUUUUCCAGUGUGCUGUGUCCUACGCUUUCAGUACUGAAGAUCAACAGGAACGCCUUAACUCAUUGUUUGUCAAGGUUUACUAUUGCUUCAAAACACCUCAUUAGGUCUCAAGUAAGGUCCCUUAAAAAUGUUUUCACAUUUUCUAUUUCAUUAAUGACAUUUGGCACCUUGCCUUAAUUGCACGCCUUUGCAAAUUAGUUAAAUGUUUUGUAUUGAUGCAACGGAACAUUGUCAAGGAAUUAUAAUUGGUAAUAAAUGCAUAGCUUUUUGUGAUUGAAGACAGUUUUGGUAUGCAUUUGUUAUUCUGGGGGACUCUUGUGUGGGGGCUUUUCUUGUGCUUUUGCAGGUAUGACUUAGCUUGGUGCUUUUAGAUCACGGAAGUGACCUGGGCUUGAUGGCAGCUCUUACAAGGUGGAAAGUGACGGUUUCAGAUAAGUUCAAUCCAGCUUGUAUGUCCAAAUGUGGGAAUUUAUGACAUGGCACCUGGUUGUCUGAAGGGGCACUAUUGCUGCCGUAGUUGAUUCGUCUUCAAUAGAGAAGAAUCUACUUAGCGAUACAACGACACUGCCGCUACUUGUGGUAUGUAGAAGUUGCACUACUGUGCUUUCACUGAGGGCAAAUCUCUUCUGGUGGAGACUUUUCAACUCAAACUUAUGCUAAUUAUAAAGCAUAUUUUGUCUACGGGUAACAAAUGUCAGUGCUGUGAGGGUGGGUCUAUACAUAGGGCUGUUUGUUUUUGAUCUUUCAGAAUUACAAAAGCCCAAACGAAGCCUGCCAUCUACCCGUGACAUGACCACAGGAAUCGCCCCUCCUUUGAACUCUACACAGGCAGGACCGUUUGAACACCUUCAUUACAUUAGACUAUUUCUAGUUAGCUUUUGACUCUCCUCAGCUACCAACACUUGUUCAACUGUGCAAGGAGCAAGCAGUCUUGUAUUGUAGUAGCCUUCCAUUCCUCUUCAACUGCAUAAUUGGUUUUCCUUUGCAGCUGUCAUGCAACUGUGACAGCGUUCCCAAAUUAAGGUAGCUGAGGAACACUGUGCAACUGUGCAGCUGUAAUUUGGACUGUGCAAUUGUUUUGCUUUUGGAUUGGUAGUUGGGGGGGGUUCUGCACUUUUUCUCAACAGAAAUCUGAGUGCGUCUUGGUGAAGCAUGAAUGAAGUCUUCUGACCUGGCGCACGUAGUAAGGUGUUGGUGUACCUUUUCAGUCUUCAUUUCAAAUCGAACUCCAGACCCAUGCCAUGUUUUAGUUUGGUUCAAUGUACAUCUUGAACUGGCUUUCUAUCGUUAAUAACCAUCAUCAAGCCAUGCUUUCACUGGCAUAUGCCCUUUUCUUAGGCUCCGAGCCCUACUGCUUUGCAUCUUUAAAGUAAGUUGAGUAAAACGUCAUGUAUGUUAUGUGAGUACUGUGGUGGUUUGUGUAGAAACCUCUUUGUUUCAGAUCAUUAUCUUGUCUCACUGUCCGCUGACUGCGCCUCCAUCUGAAUGUAACGCCGUCGCAGGAAACUCGGCAAAUGAAUGUGUCCCCUGAAUGACGUACCUACCAUCUACCCCCUCCGCGCUUGAGCUUAGUCAAACCCCACCCCCACACUCAACGGUCUUCAGACUCCUCUCCCUCUGUGCUCCUUUCCUUUCUCCCUUUUGGUUUCUCAGGUGACAAUUUCUCAUCCUAUGUAAAAUAGUCAUGAAUUGGCUGGCAUCUGUUAUGCCUCUAACUGCGUGAUGGAACACUGAGAACCCAGUCACUUUCAGAUCAAGAGCCAAAAGCUUGUCUUGCUGAAAAUUGAGCAUCACUUCAGUUUCUUGGUUACUAAGUUAAGUCGUUUUGGUUCCCUUUUGAUUUUGAACACAUCAUGGCUAUGUUUUAACACAACCUUUUCACUGCAUGCUUAUCAGCUCUGCAUAACAUUUUGAACUUCAAAAUGCACAACAUAACUUUCAUAUAGUUAAUGUGUAAAAUAGGCACAUUCCAGUUGAUGUUGGGUGGGUGGGUGCAACACUUUCUUCCUUCCUUUCAGAUGCCUCUUGAGUGAACUUGCCAUUACUGGGUGCUUGCAGCUGCAGGGAGUCACGGGAAGUGUCUUGGUUUGAUCCAGUUCUAGGAAGUUGAGAGCAACAGUGUAGAGAAACCGCUUCAAAUCUAACAGCCCAAUCCUUGUGAGUUUUACUGACCUCUGAAUCUGGACCAAUGUCAGUGAUAAGAUCUACACCUACGUUGUGACUUUACACCUACGUUGUGACUUUGUCUUACUGGUAUCAUGGAUAAAAUGUGGAAUUGCUCUAAUGGCAUUAAGUGUCUAUGGGUUUGCUGGGGAUGGGGAAACCAGUUGUCUUUUCCUCUAGUUUCAGGCUUGCGACAAUGCUAAACUCUUCGGGUUCGUGUAGAGCAGCAGGUGCAAGGGUUUUUCUUUUCCUGGGGGAACAAACCCUCUGGUUUUUGUUCUUCCAGGUUUUGCUUUUUGUCCUUUUGCAAAAAAAGCAAAAGACUCCGGUGGUGGCACUCCUGAUAGUCCUCAGGAUGGGGUUCAAUUCCCUGCGGUGUCUUUGCUUUUCUCAACCUGCUGCUUAGUUGGGUAAGCCAGUGAAAAGGGGAACCUAGGUAGUUAAAUAAAGUAUGUUCUACGGUCAUAUUGUGAAUUUUUUAUUUUUAUCGUUCAAGUAUUACCUCUUAAAAUAAUGAGUUGCCAUAGUAAUUGAGGCUGUUUAGUAUGUGCCCCUUGUGGAAACUGUCUCCGUCAAUAAAA